AGCAGCCGCGGUAAUUCCAGCUCCAAUAGCGUAUAUUAAAGUUGUUGCAGUUAAAAAGCUCGUAGUUGAAUUUCGGGCUAGUAGGUUGGUCAUGCCUCUGGUAUGUACUGGUCUCACUGAUUCCUCCUUCCUGAUGAACCUUAAUGCCAUUUAUUUGGUGUUUUGGGGAAUUUGGACUGUUACUUUAGAAAAAUUAAGUGUUUAAAGCAAGCUAACGCUUGAAUACAUUAGCAUGGAAUAAUGAAAUAGGACGUUCGAUCCUAUUUUGUUGGUUUCUAGGAUUGACGUAAUGAUUAAUAGGGAUAGUUGGGGGCAUUAGUAUUCAAUUGUCAGAGGUGAAAUUCUUGGAUUUAUUGAAGACUAACUACUGCGAAAGCAUUUGCCAAGGAUGUUUUCAUUAAUCAAGAACGAAAGUUAGGGGAUCGAAGACGAUCAGAUACCGUCGUAGUCUUAACCAUAAACUAUGCCGACUAGGGAUCGGAUGAUGUUAAUUUUUAAUGUACUCAUUCGGCNCCUUAAC
rnacentral:rRNA from 1 species